GUCCUACGGGACGCAGCAGUGAGGAAUAUUGGUCAAUGGCCGGAAGGCUGAACCAGCCAAGUCGCGUGAGGGAAUAAGGCCCUAUGGGUCGUAAACCUCUUUUGUCAGGGAGCAAAGGCGUCCACGUGUGGACGAGAGGAGAGUACCUGAAGAAAAAGCAUCGGCUAACUCCGUGCCAGCAGCCGCGGUAAUACGGAGGAUGCAAGCGUUAUCCGGAUUUAUUGGGUUUAAAGGGUGCGUAGGCGGUUCGAUAAGUUAGAGGUGAAAUCCCGGGGCUCAACUCCGGCACUGCCUCUGAUACUGUC
rnacentral:rRNA from 1 species